AUUGAACGCUGGCGGCAGGCCUAACACGUGCAAGUCGAACGGUAACAGGAAACAGCUUGCUGUUUCGCUGACGAGUGGCGGACGGGUGAGUAAUGUCUGGGAAACUGCCUGAUGGAGGGGGAUAACUACUGGAAACGGUAGCUAAUACCGCAUAACGUCGCAAGACCAAAGAGGGGGACCUUCGGGCCUCUUGCCAUCGGAUGUGCCCAGAUGGGAUUAGCUAGUAGGUGGGGUAACGGCUCACCUAGGCGACGAUCCCUAGCUGGUCUGAGAGGAUGACCAGCCACACUGGAACUGAGACACGGUCCAGACUCCUACGGGAGGCAGCAGUGGGGAAUAUUGCACAAUGGGCGCAAGCCUGAUGCAGCCAUGCCGCGUGUAUGAAGAAGGCCUUCGGGUUGUAAAGUACUUUCAGCGGGGAGGAAGGGAGUAAAGUUAAUACCUUUACUCAUUGACGUUACCCGCAGAAGAAGCACCGGCUAACUCCGUG
rnacentral:rRNA from 1 species